GUUGUGGCUCAGCGGCAGAGCACUAGCCUAGCAUGUGCGAGGCCCUGGGUUCAAUCCUCAGCACCACA
rnacentral:tRNA from 1 species